GAUGAAGAACGUAGCGAAAUGCGAUAAGUAAUGUGAAUUGCAGAAUUCAGCGAAUCAUCGAAUCUUUGAACGCACAUUGCGCCCGGCAGUACUCUGCCGGGCAUGCCUGUUCGAGCGUCAUUUCAACCCUCAAGCCCUGCUUGGUGUUGGGGCCCCACGGCUGCCGUGGGCCCUGAAAGGAAGUGGCGGGCUCGCUACAACUCCGAGCGUAGUAAUUCAUUAUCUCGCUUAGGGCGUUGGGCGGCGCUCCAGCCGUUAAAGAACCAUCUUUAACUCAAGGUUGACCUCGGAUCAGGUAGGAAUACCCGCUGAACUUAAGCAUAUCAAUAAGCGGAGGA
rnacentral:misc_RNA from 1 species